UGCAUGCUACAUUUUAUGAAUGCAUGUGGCCUAGAGAAAAAAGCUAUGCCAACCUGUCCAAAUGAACUUGUAUGUAUGCACAUAGUAUACUCCCAUCUGCCUAUCCUUGUAAAGACAAACUAUUAUUGUGCUGUUAUAGGAAAAGGCCAAGGUAGCCUUAAUCAGCAUCACUGGGGACCAGUCCAAAGAGAACAGGUCAGAGGAAUACCAGAGUCUACUAUCAACAUGAGGAUUGUAAAUACUUAUAUCCACAAAACCCAACACAUACCAAUAAAAGAAGAUAGAGGAAAUAAAAGGAAAUUAACAGUGACUGCAGGACAUAUUGUUUAAGAAUCCAGGUACCGGGGAUCGAACUCUGGUCCUUGCGCUUGCGCAGCACGCGGCUAAACCACUGAGCUAAAUCCCCAGCCCUCGACUUCAUUUAUGGAGAAGUGAACAUAAUACAGAUGCUAUGAUGUUUCUUAGAGGAACUGUAUGUAUAGUUGUCAACCAUGGAUUUCUAAGAACAGAACCAAAAUAUUCUAUUCAAACAAUAUUUAAUGAAAAAUAUAUGUGUAACAAGAACGGAUGCUGUGUAGGCAUUUUUAGCAAUCCAUUUUAGGAAAAUUCUGUAGUGUUAAGGACAGUUUUAAAAAUUUUUUAUUGGAGUAUAUGAGUAGCUUAUUUUCCUUUUGGGAAGCAUCAAAAUGUCAUUAUAAAUAAAUAACCUGUACAAAUUUUGUAUUUCUGUAGUAGUUAGAAUUAAUGAUAAGAUUCUAAGCAUGUGUAUUUGAUUUUUUCAAAUUCUUUUUUUUAUCCUUUUAUUGGUACAUUUUAGGUGUACAACAUAAUGACAUUCAUCAUUGGAGAUAUGCACCUUUACAUACUCUCUUGGUUCUUAUUUUUUCCCCCUUCCCCUGCCCUCCCUUCAACCCCUCCACUCUUUUCUAUUUACAAAGACUUUGUUUC
rnacentral:lncRNA from 1 species